ACGGAAGGCGCAGUGAGGAAUAUUGGUCAAUGGGCGGAAGCCUGAACCAGCCAUGUCGCGUGCAGGACUACGGCCCUACGGGUCUUAAACUGCUUUUGCAAGGGGAUAAAGUGGGGCACGCGUGCCCCUUUGCAGGUACCUUGCGAAUAAGGAUCGGCUAACUCCGUGCCAGCAGCCGCGGUAAUACGGAGGAUCCGAGCGUUAUCCGGAUUUAUUGGGUUUAAAGGGAGCGUAGGCGGGCUGUUAAGUCAGCGGUGAAACCCCCGGGCUCAACCCGGGGACUGCCAUUGAAACUGGCGGCCUUGAGUACGUUGGGAGUGCGCGGAAUGUGUGGUGUAGCGGUGAAAUGCAUAGAUAUCACACAGAACACCGAUCGCGUAGGCAGCGCACUACGCCGCAACGGACGCUGAGGCACGAAGGCGCGGGGAUCGAACAGGAUUAGAUACCCUGGUA
rnacentral:rRNA from 1 species